rnacentral:rRNA from 1 species
GACAGAGGGUGCAAACGUUGUUCGGAUUUACUGGGCGUAAAGCGCACGUAGGCGGUUCGCUAAGUCUGUCGUGAAAUCCCCCGGCUCAACCGGGGAAUAGCGUCGGAUACUGGCGAGCUCGAGGUCGAUAGGGGUAAGUGGAACUCCAGGUGGAGCGGUGAAAUGCGUAGAUAUCUGGAGGAACGACCGGUGGCGAAAGCGGCUUACUGGAUCGAAUCUGACGCUGAGGUGCGAAAGCUAGGGUAGCAAACGGG